rnacentral:tRNA from 1 species
GGUGCUAUAGCUCAGGUGGAUAGAGCAAGCGUUUCCUAAACGCUAGGUCGGGGGUUCAAAUCCCUCUAGCAUCG